rnacentral:rRNA from 1 species
GUCUUGGGACACUGUCAGGUGGGCAGUUUGACUGGGGCGGUCGCCUCCCAAAAGGUAACGGAGGCGCUCAAAGGUUCUCUCAGUACGGUCGGAAAUCGUACGUAGAGUGUAAAGGCAAAAGAGAGCUUGAUUGCAAGACAUACAGGUCGAGCAAGGAUGAAAAUCGGACUUAGUGAUCCGGUGGUUCUGCGUGGAAGGGCCAUCGCUCAACGGAUAAAAGCUACCCUGGGGAUAACAGGCUUAUCUCCCC